UCACUGACCCCAGCCCCAGCCCUAAACAUUUCUUUUUGAGGGUCAUAGUGAAAAGAGGAAAAAUGCUGCAUAGCCCCAAGCUUUCAUUUAAAAAAGCAGACUUGGAAUAGUUUGAAAAUUUAGGUAACGUUGUUUUCAUUGCUCUGUGCUUUUAUGGUUACCUUCCAGUUAAGACAAUUGACUAACGUGCCUUUAACUUUGUGUAAGUCAAAAGUGAGUUGAUUUCUGUCACAGCAGAAAGUCGAGUAGCAGUGGUGAGGUGGCUGUGAGUGGAGGUUGUGGAGUCUGGCUUACAGAGCGGGAAAACUGAGUUAACACAAAAGUGCCAGUAACUGGCCUUUAGCCUCCCAGCCCAACAGCGGGUGUGGGUGUGAUGGAGCACUGUGCUUCCUGCGGGUUCCAGUCAGCAAGUGUGUCCUGGGCGCCUUCUGUGUGCUUGCGGCCAUUUGGGUACUGGCAACAACUGUGAGCAAAACAGACAGCCCCUGCGUGCAGGGAGUAAGCAUUCUGCAGGGACCAGAGCCAUGUCUGUUUGCUCACUGCGGCGAGUGCCCACUGAGUGUGCUGCGCGGGGGCCGGUGGCCAGGAGUGAGUGAAGGCUCCCCUGCUGGGUAGCUGCGAGUGGCAGAGGAGCACGCUGCUGCUUACUGCGCCAGGCUUGUGCCAGCUGUUUCCACACUGGACCGAGAGCAGCUCUCAGCUGUCCCCACUUUUCAGAUGGGAACUGGCUUAAAAACAGGCAACUUGGCUGAGGCGUGAUAGGGAACAAGAGGUACUUUUAAUUUGGGGCACAAUUCCAAAGGACUGUGGCUCUUUUGCCACCAGGGGUCGCAGUUACCAGUGUCAUCCCUGCUCAGGUGAAGAGCAAAGCUCCCUCUGCUUUCCUCCCUCCUCCCCUCCUCUACUCCCCUGCUUCCCCCUGUUCCCAUCUGCCCUCCCUUGAACUUGCUCCUUUUUCCCCUCAACGCCUAGCUGAGCGUCAGUAUGUGGCAGGCACUGGCUGUCACUCAGGACAGUGUGGCCUGGCCCCUUCCCGUCACCUCACCAUUUCCCCACUUCUUCACUUGUUCUUUUGCGAGGUGUUUAGCGAGCGUUUGGCUGCGCCCAGCUCUGCUAGAUCCUGAAAAAGCUGCAGUGGCAGGGACCGUCCCACAGCCCUCUGGAGAUCCCUGAUCCUGCUGCGCUCUGCCCCCAGUGGCUCUCUGGCUGGUCUCCCUGGUUUUGCCCUGACCCCUAGUUCUUCACUCAGUAGGGAGAGGGACCCUUUUAAACCAGACAUGCCACCCCUCCAUCCAGAGGUCUGAUGACUCCAUCCUUGUCUCCUUGCUUACCCAUGGCACAAGUUGGCACCCCCUCGCCACAGUGUCCUCGUCCAUGACCUGAGCCGAGAGCAGAGCCUGCUGUGUGGGCCUGCUGUGAGCACAUCUGGCUCAGGAUUCCCAGGAUGCAGAUACAGCUGGGUGAGUAUUAGUGAGUCACACCUCAGGGACCCACACCCCGGGUGACAUCCUGUAGGAGAAUCAGUAUCUGGGACUGAAAUCUUGAGAAACACCUUAUUGAACAUGGAGCAGUGACCACCACAAAGAAUGACCGUGAUGACCAUGAGGACCCUUUGCGGACAAUCCCCCAGCAAUGGCCAAACUGCAGAGGUUCCCCCGCCCCUUCUCCCUCCUGUAACCUCCCGAGGCUGUCAGGGGAAGUCAGGCUCCAGUGUCACUGGGCCCCUGUGCAGGUUGUCCCCAAUAGCCCCGUGUUACUACUGAGCUCCUCUCCUGCCUCUUUAUUUCCUUCAGUUGGUUCUUUUCUUACAUUUUGGUGCUGAAAUGGGGGACUGGCAACUGGCAUUUGGACUUCCCACAUGGGCAGCCCCUCAGGCCUUCCCUUGACCUUGACCUGGUCUCCUCCUUUCCCUUUCUCAUCCCCCUUCCCUUCCCUCUGCAGAUCCAGUAGGGACAACUCAUGUUACUGGACCUCCACCGCCAUGGCCAUUGCCUAUUGGGUGAGUGAUGCCCUCCAACUCUUCUGGAUUUCUGGAAUCCCUGCCUCGGUUUCCCUCUCUGUGGGCACUGUCCCUCUGACAAAUCCCAUCACUGGAUGAGAAUUCCUGCCACACUGGUGGCAAUGACUUGCAUUCUGUGGGGAUGCCCAUCAGUCGCCUGUGGUUCCAUUGGUCCUUCCUGGAACAUCCCUGUCAGUGCUCGCCCUCAGGCAUCACCCACAGUGUGGGACCCCUCCAGCCCACUGCGGCUGCCCGUCCCACUCCUGUUAAGGUCUCCGUACAGUGGGCUGGGGCUGCGGCUCGGGCAGAGCACUGCCCAGCAUGUCGGAGGCCCUGGGUUCGUUCCUCAGCAUCACAGAAUAAACAAAAUAAAGGUAUUGUGUCCACCUACAGAGAUUUCCCUACAAGACCCUGUCUCUUCCCUUUGCAAAUCCCAAUAUCUUCUUAGUCCCCAGGUCAUUGUUUCCUGGCUUCUCCAGGCUAACAUUCUUCCACUCACUGACUCCUCUCAGAACACCCCAAUUUUGACCAUUAAAAAACCCUUCCUUGAAGGGGAUCUGGGCCUCACAUCGGUGUCCACUGCGAGCACCAGUGUUGUGAAACUUGGGGAGCACUAACUGCCCCUGCCAGCGCCAGGCACUCAGGAACAGCAAGCGGUGUAGCUGUAGGAUCACGCAUAUUGCAAACAAGCAACUAGGAUACAGCCUCUUGUGCCCCUCUGUAAGCCUAGGUGCACAUCCCACAUUGCUGGACCCGGUUCAGUGUUUCUGAAUCAAGGCUGAGAAUUUGCCUUCCUAGUAAGCUCGGUAGUGCUCGGACUGCUGUUCUGGGAACUACUGCCCUAAACAUCAAGGUGUGUCAUGAGAAAAAUGGGAACUGGUGCUGGGAAGGCAGGAAGCAAUUGUGAUUUCCUGUGCCCAUUUUAUGGAUGAUGGAGCUGAGGCCCAGAGAUGCUAAGCAACUUUCCCAGAGUCAUCAGCCUGCAAAUGGUAGAUUGUGCCAGACAUGAUCUGUUGCCUAAAAGAGGCAUGUGGCUCCUCUUAACUCUUUGGACAGAGCCCCAAUUUGCCCAAGGGUGUGUUAGGUGAAGCUCAGAUUGGUCCCUGAUGGACAGGUGGGCAUGUGACCCCUUUUUGGUCACCAAGACUAGACACAAGGGCAAAUCUGUAAAGAUUGCUUCUGUGGAUGAUGUUACAUGUCAUGGAAGGUCUUGAGAGGGGCGAGUUCACACCCUGCCCUGAUCCCAAAACACCCCCAUCAGUGAUUCCUGCUUUAAAUGAGGCCACCUGGGAGGUCAGGAGUGGAGGACGAUGGGUAGGGAGCCAGGCAGGCAGGAGGCUGCACUUGGGGAGGCCACAGCCCAGCUGAGAGUACAUAGAAGCCAGCAGGCCCACCCAGCCAGGCACAGACCCCAGUCCCGCACAGCUCUGCUCAUUCCGGGCACCUUGUUGCCUUUCCUGGUCAGGCCAGGACAUUGGGGACCACAGGCCCCUCUGCUUAGAUCAAAGUAGCAACAGAGCCAUAAAGGAGAUCUGAGAUCUCCUCUUCAAGGACGGUGGCGGGAACACUGGACUGGAUGUGGCCCACUCAAGGCCUGGCCAGUCUCUGCCCCCAGCUGUCCCUGAAGGAGGGGAGAGUGCCCAAGUGAAGGUUUGGUCUGAGCCAGUGGCUGAUGACCUGGACACUGUUCACUGGGUCCACAGGAUGUUCAUUUCCCAGUUGCCAAGUUAAGCACUCACAGUCCAGAGCCCUGACUUGUCUGGAAAGAUUGCCAGGAUCCAACUGCCCUGGGCCUGUCCUGACAUUGGCCUUGUAAAGGGGCUUUGCUCACCCUGUCCCCACUCCUCCAGGUUCUCCUUCACUCAGGCUGCCUGCCCGUUCCCGUGUGUGUCCUCCUGUCCUCUCCCUGUGGACUCAAGAGGGAGGGUGCUCUCGCUCUCAGACAUCUUCGCCUCCACACUGCCUCUCCCUGCAACACUGGAGUGCGCAACCCCUAGACAGACGAUCAGCAUCUUCUCCAGGGGCCUCCAAGCUGCCUCUAAUCUCAAUCAUCCAAAACAAACCCGUGGCUCCAGCCCUUGCUCUCUGCUCCCACCACCAUCUGCCCAUCUAACCUGUGGGAGAGCCAGCGCCUGGGCUGAACCUGGGCGUUCCUCUCACUCCCAUCUUGCACCCCGACCCAGACCCGCUGAAGCCCACUCAGCUUUACCUGCAGAGGGAAUCAGAAGGUAGGAGACUGGCUACCCUUGAGGCGGGCCGUGCAGCGGGGGCUCCUGGAGACUCCUGGGAGAGUGGAGGUUCUGCUUCUUGAGAUGAGAGCUGAGUACGUGGGUGGUUGGUUGGUGAAUCUACUCAAACUCCCCUCGUCCACACGCGCACCUCUCUGCAUUGCUGUUACGUUUCUAUGUAGAAGUCCUGUGUAACCGGCCACACGCCCCGCCUAGCAUCCUAGCAGCUGCGGAGUCCCAUUCAGUCCUCUGCAGGACACUGUGGUGGUCCCUCCUCACUCAGGGCCACCCCAGCUCUCACCCUGUGGCCCCUCUCUGCUCUCUGCUGUGCCCCCCACUCUCGGCGGGGCGAGCCACACUGGGCCCCUCGCCCUUUCCCAGCUGCAGCCACGCCAGAGGCCUUUGUGUUUCCUGUUCCCUCUGCCUUGUGACACUAUCCCCAGGGUCUUCUCACGGCUGCUUCUUUGGUUUCCUUCAGCCAAUGCCAGAGGCAUUCUGCCUGCAAAUGCCUGGCAAACCCCCUGUGAAUGAGGAAAGACCCCCAGCCCCCAUCUGCUCCCCAGCUUCAUCUCCUGGAUCUUGGCCACUUGCGGUCCCUUGACUCGCCUGCUCCGGUGCUUACCGCGUGGGCCCCUCAGCCCUGGGUCCUGGGCAGGGAGCCCUGUUUGGCCCACUUCUCUCUCCCUGGUCUCUAAGAUGGCACCUGGAAUGUAGUGGGUGCUCCUUUAUUGGAUUGGGCUGGAUUCCCUCUUACACACCCAGCCUGCGUGCUGGACACAGUCAAGGGUCCACUUGAGCCUCCCCCCCCCUCUCUCACACACACACACACACCCCGUACACACACACAGCCGUUCUCAUGCCCACACGCGUUCCUCCUACCUAAGGUCUCCUCUGCUGGAGGCAAAACAGAGCGUGCUCCCAGCCAGGGGUUUGGAACAAAAAACACUCAGAACCCUGGGGGUCUGAUGCCGAUCAAAGGCCGCUUGGUGUUUGUAAACCUUCACCCUCUGCCCAGGAGAAAGGAGGGCAGGGAUGGCCAGGAACCCAGAGCUGUCAGAGCUCCAGGCCUUCCCCAGAGUGAGGAAAGGCCAGUGAGGCCAAGCUGCCUGACCGCCCCCUCCUGGGGACAUGAAGGGGGUGACUAAUCCCAAGCCCAGCCUGAGGGCACUCUGCUGGGACCUGCUUCAACACCAAUAUUGCUCUUGGAGCUGCAGAGACCUUGAGUGAAAUGUCACACUGAAAGAUGCUGACAGUGGCGCAGGGGAGAGGAGGGGCUGGAGCAGGGCAGGGGACUAGAGAUCCUCUGGGGAGGCAGCACCCCCAACUCUCUCCCCUGCCUGCUGUAUUCUUAUUCAUCGUGUUAAAGUCAGGCGGGAUGCUGUCCAUUUUACACACGUGUCUUGUCUUAGAACUACUCGAACGAAACCAGCAAAACUUUGGCUCCAUCACUGCCGCACCUCCAGCACCCAGAAUAAUGCCUGCAAAUGCCAAAGCCUCUCACCACAAAACUGUCUCUGGUUACGAAGGAAGAUUUCCAGGAAUGCCAACACCCACCGAGCAAUGGCGAGUAAAUGAAUAUUGACACAGGAAUCCAGCUUCGUUUUCUGUGAUUUAAUGUUGUUAUUUAAUGUGGUUGUUAUGGUUUGGAUGGAAAGUGUCCCCAAAAGUUCAUGUUUUACAAACAUGGUGUUCCCUGUAGCAAUGUUCAGAGGUGAAAUAAUGAGAGGAUGAGCACCCCGACCUCAUCAGUGGAUGAAUGCGUUUGGUGGAUCAGUGAUUUGUAGGCGGGGGGCGGGGGGGUGUGGCUGGAGGAAGUAGGUCCCUGGGGUGGUCUUUGGGGUCUGUAUUGAGUCCCUGGCUCCUACGCUCACACCCACUCUCCCUGCUUCCCAGCCCAGGAGCUGAGCAGUGGAGUUGGCUAACCUCGGACUGAGACCUCGGAAACCAAAAUAAAGCCAAAAUGAAACGUU